rnacentral:sRNA from 1 species
CACUAAACUAACCGUUGCAGUCAUUGUACAAUGGUUUUGAUAGAAUAAAAUUUGAGAAUAUUACACUCUUAGACACUUUUUUAAAACUUAUUCCGUGUUUAGGCACUUCCAAAAGAGUAGACACUUUCUCUAUGUUUUUUUACUAAAAUACCCUAUUAACUAAACUACUCUCUUAAUCCUUAAUCCACGUUCUCUCUCUCUCUCUUUCUUUCUCUCUCUCUUCAUCUUUGUAAACAACUUUAGUUGCGUCUACUUCAAUGGAAUUGUUCAAAAUAGACAGUUCUCAAAAAAAGUUAUUUGUUGGAUGUUCAAAAUAGCCGAUCUCCUUAUAAUUAUUUGUUGAAUCCACUCACUCAUUUCUUUAUUUUAGUAUUUUAGAUGCUAUGGAGUUCUUCUUUCAGUUAAAGGAUUUGGUAUUCAAAUUUUGCAGAAUUUGAGAUUUCUAUAUUGUAGAAUUACUCGGAUUGUUGUGAGAUUAUGGAUUGAUUGGAGAGUUCGAUAUUUUAUUCGUUUUCACUGAUUGUAGAUUGUGAUUUAUUUUGCAAUUUAAAUCUUUGUUUUGACAUAAAUUUGAGAUUCAGUUCUUUAAGAAACUUCUUCUUCUUCAACAAUGGCGGCUUGAUUUGAUUUUUGCUCUCUCUCAUGUAUCAAACUCGUUUCAUCUACGUAGCAUCGAGAUUCCAGUUAAUCGAAUCUCCUAUUAUCAUGGACAUGCUAUAUAGAAUGGAUAUAAAUCAGUAAAAAGGUUUUCGAAUGGAUAUAUUUAAAUGGAUUUGUUAUUAUGGACACCAAAAAAUUGUUUGUUGAUUUUUUUUUUCAGUUUGCAGAAACCUCCACCUUUAAGACCUUAUGGACAUGAAACUUUGGUUUCUUUACAAAACACGGUUAAUCGAAUCUCCUGUUAUUAUUGACAUGGUAUAUAGAAUGGAUACGGAUCAGUAGAAAAGUUUCUGAAUGGAUAUAUUUAAAUGGACUCGUUAUUAUGGAUACCAAAAAAUUGUUUGUUGAUUUUUCUUUCAGUUUGCAGAGACCUCCACCUUCAAGACCUUAUGGACAUGAAACUUUGGUUUCUUUACAAACCACAGUUAAUCGAAUAUCCUGUUAUUAUGGACAUGAUAUAUAGAUUGAAUAUGGAUCAGUAAAAAGGUUUCCGAAUGGAUAUAUUUAAAUGGACUCGUUAUUAUGGACACCAAAAAAUUGUUUGUUGAUCUUUUUUACAGUUUGCAGAGAUCUCCACCUCUAAGACCUUAUGAACAUAGAAAUUUUACCAAAUUCCUAAGAUAAUCGAGAUCGAAUUGUUUAAGAAAAUUCUCCCAUUUAUUUGCAGAAUCGGUACCAUCGAUUUUUGGUGAGCCGCCGCCAUAAUCGAUAAGAGGAAUCGAGCCUAGAAGUUAUGGAGACGUGGAGAGAGAAAGGCACUACAAAUCAUGAAAGGGGGAGAGAGAGAGAGAGAUUUCUUUUAUUUUGCGUAAGGAUUGUGGAAGAGAGAGAAAAUGUUUAAUUUGUAUUAAAUUUUAAAAUAAAAGUAGUUGGUUAAAUUAAAGGUAAAAAUGUCUUUAAAAAAGUCAAAUAAUAGAAAAAGUGUCCUCUCCCUUAUAAGUGUCUCAAAAGGAAUAAGAUUAUUUUAAAGUGCCUAAACGUGUCACAUUCCCAUAAAAUUUUACAUUCUUUC